AAUGAACGCGGGCGGCGUGCCUAACACAUGCAAGUCGAACGAGAAAGCCCGCAAGGGUGAGUACAGUGGCGCACGGGUGAGUAAUACAUAGGAGUCUGCCUCUGAGUGAAGAAUACCCUAGAGAAAUUUAGGUUAAUACUGCAUAAGCCCAGAAAUGGGGAAAGGUGGCCUCAAGCUACCGCUGAGAGAUGAGCCUAUGGCCUAUUAGCUAGUUGGGAGGGUAAAAGCCUACCAAGGCGAGGAUGGGUAGCCGGCCUGAGAGGGUGUACGGCCACACUGGGACUGAGAUACGGCCCAGACUCCUACGGGAGGCAGCAGUGGGGAAGAUUGCACAAUGGGCGCAAGCCUGAUGCAGCGACGCCGCGUGAGGGAUGACGGCCUUCGGGUUGUAUACCUCUUUCAGCACCGACGAGGCGCAAGUGACGGUAGGUGCAGAAGAAGGACCGGCCAACUACGUGCCAGCAGCCGCGGUAA
rnacentral:rRNA from 1 species